rnacentral:lncRNA from 1 species
CAAAUCUUGCUCCUCCUGGGGCAUCUGCCCCUGUUUCUCAACUGGGGGGGGGUAAAAAAAAUAAGGGGGGGCAAUUAGUGGUCCUCGUGGGGCAGAUUUUUGGGGUCCCUUCCUCCUUUUCAAACCCGUUUUUUGGGGUUUUCUUCCUCCCACCAAACCCCAAUUUUUGGGGUCCCCUCCUCCUUCUAGACCCAAAUUUUUGGGGGUCUUUUCCUCCUUUUACACCCACACUUUUGGGGUUUUCUCCUUUUAUACCCAGAUUUUUCAGGGACCCCUUCCUCCUUUCCCACCCAGAUUUUUCGGGGACCCCUUCCUCCUUUUCCACACAGAUUUUUUGGGGUCCCUUCCUCUUUUUACACCCACAUUUUUGGCCUCCCUCCUUUUUAAACCCACAUUUUUAGGACCCCUUCCUCCUUUCCCACCCAGAUUUUUUGGGGUUCCCCCCCCCCCAAAUCCCGGUACCUAUGGGGUCCCCGCAGGCGUCGCAGUACUCGGCGUGCCGCGCCUGGUAGCAGCGGCAGCAGUAGGGCCGCCCGCGCCGCAUCACGUAGCGCCGCCCGCCCAGCGGCGCCUCGCACUCGAAGCAGCAGAAGUGGCGCACGUGCCAGUGCCGGCCCUCGGCCUCCGUGCACUGCGGGGCGAAAAUGAUCUGAAACGGGGAAAAAAGAGAGAAAAAAUGUUAGUUUGGGGGCAAAGAGUGAGUUUUGGGGGAAAAAACCUGAAGUUUGGGGGAAAAAAUAGCAAUUUUGGGGGGAAAAAGUCUAUCUUAGUAGGGAAAUGUCAAUUUUAGGAGGGAGAUAUCAGUUUCAGCAGAAAAAAUAUUAAGUUUGGGGGGGGAAAAAGGUCGACUUUGGGGGAAAAAGGUCGAAAGAAAGUCAUUUUUUAGGGAAAAACUCAAUUUUAGGGAAAAAAAGUAAAUGUAGGGGUAAAAAUUUCAGGGAAAAAAUGUCAAUUCUGUUUUUUGUAUAAAGGAAAAGGGGAGAAUAAAGUCAUUUGUUUAUUUAAUAAAGGAACA